rnacentral:lncRNA from 1 species
AACUUAUUUGUAGAUCUUACUUUGCUGAUCAUUUUUGCUGUUUACAGUUUAUCUUUAUCUAUAAUAAUAUUCAAGAUAAUGACCAAAAACUGCAAAAUUUCCUUAAAAUUACCAAUUAAGUGGCAGCAACCCAACAAUGGUUUGUUUGAUUCAUCUGAAAAUUUCAGGGCUGAUAGAUCUUGACCUAAUGAACAUUUUUACCCCAUGUCAGAUUUGCUCUAAAUGCUUUCGUUUUU